AUAAGUAACACUUUUGAAACAUUUUGACAUUAUGUAACAUGUGAUUGUAACACUUUGAUAUUAAGUAUCACUUUAUUCAGAUUUUUUGUAACACUUUGAUAUCAACCCUUGAAAAACUCGAAUUACAUCUUUUCCCUUUCUUAUGACUCUUGUUUUCUAUCUUAUUCACUCACAUCCAUAACCACAUUCCUCGUCUUACCUCUUUCGCUCUCAGUAGUCUAAUUUCAAUUUUAAUGGUAACCAUAACUGCGAUUUCAUCUCCUUAUCUUACCUCUCCUUCUUUCUUCUCAGAGGCGAAAUACCUAGGUAUUUUUAAAGGUACAUCAAUAGUGUGCUUAUUAAUGGGUGAAGGAGAGACUCUUCGCAUUUUUGCUAGAAAUUACCAGCUUAUACGAGUAUAAUAGUUUUUACGGCUUCUAGGCGUUCUUUCCUUCAUUGAAACGACAUCUGAGAUAAGGGAAUUAUAAAAGAGAUUCAAACUUAAUCUGGAGAGAAGAUGAGAAUUAUACUAGCUGUGUGGAGUCAAGAUGUAAAAUUGGUUGCUAUGCUUUCUGUUGCUGACUGCUGCUACUAGUAUUUGCUGCCACUGCUCUGUUUUUUGCUGCCGCUACUAUCUGCUAUUGUUGUUUGCUGCCGCUACUAUCUGCAACUGUUGUUUGCUGCCACAGCUCUGCUGUUUGCUACCACUUCUAUCUGCUAUUAUUGUUUGCUGCUACAUACGGCUGUCUGCUGAUAUUGAGGUCUGAUCUGUAGCUGUUGUUACUGUUGCGGCCGUUCUGCUAGCUAGUUGUUGCAUGCUAUCACACUGCUACCGCGUUGACUAUUUUUGAAUUUGGAGCUUUUUAUUAAUUUCCUUACUUUUUCUAAUCUAGAGUCCGAAACUAACUUUCUUUUUGUUUUGAUUAUUAUAUUGUUUUGCCAAACAUAAAAAUUGGUGUUUAUGGAUGUUUUUUUUUUGUAAGAAUUAUGAAAUUAUAUAAAUUCAAAUUAUUGUCUAUCA